UAGCUUAGUUGGUAAAGAAUCUGUUUGCAAUGCAGGAGACCCAGGUUUGAUUCCUGG
rnacentral:tRNA from 1 species